GUGAACCUGCGGAAGGAUCAUUGUCGAAACCUGCACAGCAGAACGACCAGCGAACAUGUUUCUAUCGGCACCUAAACGAACCCCGGCGCGGACUGCGCCAAGGAACAUGAACUCAAUGCGCCUCCCCCGUGCCCGGUUUACCGGUGUGCGGGCUUGGUGCCAUGUUUAACAAUAAACGACUCUCGGCAACGGAUAUCUCGGCUCUCGCAUCGAUGAAGAACGUAGCGAAAUGCGAUACUUGGUGUGAAUUGCAGAAUCCCGUGAACCAUCGAGUCUUUGAACGCAAGUUGCGCCCGAAGCCUCGGCUGAGGGCACGUCUGCCUGGGCGUCACGCAUCGCGUCUCCCCCUCACCCACCCGGGUGGGGAGGAGGAUGGCCUCCCGUGCCUCACCGGGCGCGGCUGGCCUAAAUAGGGAGCCCACGGAGCAGAGCUGCCGCGGCGAUUGGUGGCUCGUCGCGCUGCGCUGCCCUAAGGGAGCUCGAAGGACCCUGAACGUCGCCUCGUUGCGACCUCACCGUUGCGACCCCAGGUCAGGCGGGACUACCCGCU
rnacentral:rRNA from 1 species